UAUUUACUUUAGUUUUGGUGGGUAUCUGAUGAAGUAGUCGGGUAUUCAUAUGGUAUUAUGAAGCUUAGCUGAGUUGACUUAGUUAGUUGCACUGUGCUUGC